rnacentral:lncRNA from 1 species
AGCACCUCCACCAAAUCCUCCACCUCUCCCACCUCCAAGUCCACCGCCACCCCCUAAGCCACCUCCACCACCAAAACCUCCACCAUGCCCACCUCCAAAUCUACCACGACCACCGCAACCUCGGCGGCCACCAAAACGACAAUCAUCAUCACGCCAUCGAGUUUUAUCAAGUUUGUCAUCUCCAAGAGCGACUGAACUCAAGUGAAAAGAAAUGCUCAAGAGAAGCAGAAGAGCAAAAACCCAUUUACUAGAGAAACUAAUUAAACCCAUGGCCAGCUGAGCUAGUACAGACUUUACUAGGUUAUGAUCAGCUCGAUCCAGUUGGCUUGAUCCGAUUGAUUCACUACCAAAGCUCAUAAUAUAUAGGGUUCAUCCACUUGGCAGGCAAAUAAUUGAAGCAAAGUCCUGAGCACCCACAACGUAGUCAUUAAUAUGGUGCAUAUGUUAUGGUCAUCUAUUGAUUAUGGUUAUGGAUGUAACGCGUUAGAACCGUUGGG